rnacentral:ncRNA from 1 species
ACUUUUACUUUGAAAAAAUUAGAGUGCUCCAGGCAGGCCUAUGCUCGAAUACAUUAGCAUGGAAUAAUAGAAUAGGACGUGUGGUUCUAUUUUGUUGGUUUCUAGGACCGCCGUAAUGAUUAAUAGGGACAGUCGGGGGCAUCAGUAUUCAAUUGUCAGAGGUGAAAUUCUUGGAUUUAUUGAAGACUAACUACUGCGAAAGCAUUUGCCAAGGAUG